AACGCACCUUGCGCUCCCUAGUAUUCUGGGGAGCAUGUCUGUUUGAGUGUCAUGAACUCUUCAACCCACUAGUUUCUUGUAGACUAGCUGGUGUUUGGAUUUUGAAUGUUGCUGGUCUUCGGACGUAGCUCGUUCGUAAUACAUUAGCAUCUCUAAUUCGAAUUCGGAUUGACUCAGUGUAAUAGACUAUUCGCUGAGGACACUUUUAUUAGUGGCCGAACAAGAUAAUUGUAGAAGCUUCAAACCUCUAUAGUCAAUUUUAGAUUAGACCUCAGAUCAGGCAGGAUUACCCGCUGAACUUAA
rnacentral:misc_RNA from 2 species